GCCUGAGUAGCUCAGUUGGUUAGAGCAGCUGUCUUGUAAACAGCAGGUCGUGGGUUCGAAUCCCCCCUCAGGCUCCG
rnacentral:tRNA from 1 species